rnacentral:rRNA from 1 species
CCUACGGGUGGCAGCAGUGAGGAAUAUUGGUCAAUGGACGAGAGUCUGAACCAGCCAAGUAGCGUGAAGGAUGACUGCCCUAUGGGUUGUAAACUUCUUUUAUAAAGGAAUAAAACGAGGCACGUGUGCCUUUUUGCAUGUACUUUAUGAAUAAGGAUCGGCUAACUCCGUGCCAGCAGCCGCGGUAAUACGGAGGAUCCGAGCGUUAUCCGGAUUUAUUGGGUUUAAAGGGAGCGUAGAUGGGUUGUUAAGUCAGUGGUGAAAGUUUGCGGCUCAACCGUAAAAUUGCAAUUGAUACUGGCAGUCUAGAGUACAGUUGAGGUAGGCGGAAUGCGUGGUGUAGCGGUGAAAUGCUUAGAUAUCUCGAAGAACCCCGAUUGCGAAGGCAGCUUACUAAACUGUGACUGACAUUGAUGCUCGAAAGUGUGGGUAUCAAACAGGAUUAGAUACCCUGGUAGUC